rnacentral:rRNA from 1 species
AUUGAACGCUGGCGGCAGGCCUAACACAUGCAAGUCGAGCGGAUGAGGAGAGCUUGCUCUCUGAUUUAGCGGCGGACGGGUGAGUAAUGCCUAGGAAUCUGCCUGGUAGUGGGGGAUAACGUUCCGAAAGGAACGCUAAUACCGCAUACGUCCUACGGGAGAAAGCAGGGGACCUUCGGGCCUUGCGCUAUCAGAUGAGCCUAGGUCGGAUUAGCUAGUUGGUGAGGUAAUGGCUCACCAAGGCGACGAUCCGUAACUGGUCUGAGAGGAUGAUCAGUCACACUGGAACUGAGACACGGUCCAGACUCCUACGGGAGGCAGCAGUGGGGAAUAUUGGACAAUGGGCGAAAGCCUGAUCCAGCCAUGCCGCGUGUGUGAAGAAGGUCUUCGGAUUGUAAAGCACUUUAAGUUGGGAGGAAGGGUUGUAGAUUAAUACUCUGCAAUUUUGACGUUACCAACAGAAUAAGCACCGGCUAACUACGUGCCAGCCGCCGCCGUAAGAC